rnacentral:rRNA from 1 species
GUAGGUGGCAAGCGUUGUCCGGAAUUAUUGGGCGUAAAGCGCGCGCAGGCGGCCCUUUAAGUCUGAUGUGAAAGCCCACGGCUCAACCGUGGAGGGUCAUUGGAAACUGGGGGACUUGAGUACAGAAGAGGAAAGUGGAAUUCCACGUGUAGCGGUGAAAUGCGUAGAGAUGUGGAGGAACACCAGUGGCGAAGGCGACUUUCUGGUCUGUAACUGACGCUGAGGCGCGAAAGCGUGGGGAGCAAACAGGGAUUAGAUACCCUGGUAGUCCACGCCGUAAACGAUGAGUGCUAAGUGUUAGAGGGUUUCCGCCCCUUUAGUGCUGCAGCUAACGCAUUAAGCACUCCGCCUGGGGAUACGGCCGCAAGGCUG